rnacentral:rRNA from 1 species
GGCCUAUCAGCUUGUUGGUGGGGUAACGGCCUACCAAGGCUCCGACGGGUAGCUGGUCUGAGAGGACGACCAGCCACACUGGGACUGAGACACGGCCCAGACUCCUACGGGAGGCAGCAGUGGGGAAUCGUGCGCAAUGGGCGAAAGCCUGACGCAGCAACGCCGCGUGGGGGACGAAGGCCUUCGGGUUGUAAACCCCUUUCAGCAGGGACGAACAUGACGGUACCUGCAGAAGAAGCCCCGGCCAACUACGUGCCAGCAGCCGCGGUAAUACGUAGGGGGCGAGCGUUGUCCGGAUCUAUUGGGCGUAAAGAGCUCGUAGGCGGUUUGGCAAGUCGGGUGUGAAAACUCCGGGCUCAACUCGGAGACGCCACUCGAUACUGCCAUGACUCGAGUCCGGUAGGGGAGUGCGGAAUUCCUGGUGUAGCGGUGAAAUGCGCAGAUAUCAGGAGGAACACCGGUGGCGAAGGCGGCACUCUGG